rnacentral:rRNA from 1 species
AUGAACGCUGGCGGCGUGCCUCAUACCUGCAAGUCGCGCGAACAGACGAGGAGCUUGCUCCUCUGACGUUAGCGGCGGACGGGUGAGUAACACGUGGAUAACCUACCUAUAAGACUGGGAUAACUUCGGGAAACCGGAGCUAAUACCGGAUAAUAUAUCGAACCGCAUGGUUCAAUAGUGAAAGACGGUUUUGCUGUCACUUAUAGAUGGAUCCGCGCCGCAUUAGCUAGUUGGUAAGGUAACGGCUUACCAAGGCAACGAUGCGUAGCCGACCUGAGAGGGUGAUCGGCCACACUGGAACUGAGACACGGUCCAGACUCCUACGGGAGGCAGCAGUAGGGAAUCUUCCGCAAUGGGCGAAAGCUUGACGGAGCAACGCCGCGUGAGUGAUGAAGGUCUUCGGAUCGUAAAACUCUGUUAUUAGGGAAGAACAAAUGUGUAAGUAACUAUGCACGUCUUGACGGUACCUAAUCAGAAAGCCACGGCUAACUACGUG